rnacentral:tRNA from 1 species
GCGGGUGUAGCAUAGUGGUAAUGCUCCAGCCUUCCAAGCUGGCUAUGUGGGUUCGAUUCCCAUCACCCGCUCCA